UGUAAUCACAUUUAUUAUGGACUAAAAAGGCUUAGGGUCCAUCGUUAUCCACGGUGGUUCAUUUUAUUAUUUCCAUAACCAUUGCUAAAACGGCUAAACCCAGACGUUUGUUGCUUUUAAAGCCGUUGGAUCGGUAAGAGGAGGAGUCGUGGAGGCUCACAUGCACACAUCCUUCAGCUAUUUUGUUUUGUCUUUAUUGUAAGAGAGAGAGUAAAG
rnacentral:lncRNA from 1 species